UACGGAGGGGGCUAGCGUUGUUCGGAAUUACUGGGCGUAAAGCGCGCGUAGGCGGCUUUGUAAGUCAGAGGUGAAAUCCUGGAGCUUAACUCCAGAACUGCCUUUGAGACUGCAUCGCUUGAAUUGUGGAGAGGUAAGUGGAAUUCCGAGUGUAGAGGUGAAAUUCGUAGAUAUUCGGAAGAACACCAGUGGCGAAGGCGACUUACUGGACACGUAUUGACGCUGAGGUGCGAAAGCGUGGGGAGCAAACAGG
rnacentral:rRNA from 1 species